rnacentral:rRNA from 1 species
CAGUAGCCACGGUAAUACGUAGGGUGCAAGCGUUAAUCGGAAUUACUUGGCGUAAAGCGUGCGCAGGCGGUUAUAUAAGACAGAUGUGAAAUCCCCGGGCUCAACCUGGGAACUGCAUUUGUGACUGUAUAGCUAGAGUACGGCAGAGGGGGAUGGAAUUCCGCGUGUAGCAGUGAAAUGCGUAGAUAUGCGGAGGAACACCGAUGGCGAAGGCAAUCCCCUGGGCCUGUACUGACGCUCAUGCACGAAAGCGUGGGGAGCAAACAGGAUUAGAUACCCCCGUAGUCCCUGUCUCUUAUAC